GCUGUGUUUUUAAAAAAAUCUUUGUGAUGCUGGUGUAUAAUACAGGCAGGGUCAAAAGCCCUGUAGCAUGUCGAGGCUGACCUCAACCAAAUGCUCCAAUCUUUGGGGGUAUAGAGCUGUCUCCAGUGCAUCUGCACCAUGAGAGCAAAAUGGAGAAAAAAGCAGAUGCGUUGCCUGAAGAGAAAGAGGCGAAAGAUGAGACACCGGUCUAAGUAAAUACCCACAGUAGCAGUGAUGCAGAAUGGCAUACCCCUCUGAGUUGCAACAUCAGCAAAUAUCGUCACCCAUCAUAUAAAAAAAAA